GUACUGACUGCUGCUGCAGGGCAGGGCUCUGCUGUUAGCAACUGAUGCUCAGAAAAAGAGAUGCAAAUCCGUGUCAUUUCUAAGAGGAUCAUUUCAACUUUUAUCUCCUUGGCUCUGUCAGGGAUAAACUUGGUAUUUUCCAAGCGUGUCCCUUCAACAGAAAUUUAGAAACAUUGUGGGAAGAAGCUCUGUGCACAGGUUUCAGCACUGUAAAUGAUCGCUUUCACCAUCUAUUGCCAUGCUGCUGAGGUACUCUGACUGAAGCACGUCACAUACUGUGGCACUCUGCUUCAGUGCUGUCCCAACAGCUUGGCAUCUGAUGCGAAGCAGAGAUAAACUCAUUUAAAAUACCUUAAUGUGGCAAUAGAAGGCAGUUGUUGAUAGUUACGUUAGUGACAGCGUUGGUUCUCUUCCUUCUCUUGCAGUCGUGGUGCAGUGCGUGCGUUCUGCAGGCAGAUGUAUGGCCCUGUCAUAAACAAGUUCCUUGGGAGUGCACCGAGGCCUGGGGUGCCGCCGGUCCCACGGGGACACUGCUCAGUACUUUUCCAGUUGCACUGUAACUGCUUUGGGUGUGUGUGAUCUGCUGCAAAUGUGGCUGCAGCAGUAAGUGGGACAGAGGGCCUUUCGGGACACACUGGGUGCCUUCUCUGUGUCGGUGACCAAUGCCAUACAGGUUGUUGGUGUUCUCCAUCAGGUUAGAAAUGGCUCGGAUUUUUGGUCAUAGGAACUGGCAGUGUUAUUUGUGCCAGGGCCUGGAAGUACUCCGGUACUGUAACCACACUUAAGCAUACCACAGAACCAUAGAAUGGCCUGGGUUGAAAAGGACCACAAUGAUCAUGGAGUUCCAACCCCCUGCUAUGUGCAGGGUCACCAACCAGCAGACCAGGCUGCCCAGAGCCACAUCCAGCCUGGCCUUGAAUGCCUGCAGGGAUGGGGCAUCCACAGCCUCCUUGGGCAACCUGUUCCAAUGUAUCACCACUGCCUGGGGCCCAGAGCUGGCUGGGGACCCCAUCCGUAGCUGUACUGAACUGUGCAAAUGCUGGCUGCUUCACAUCCUGCUGUAAUUCAGAGCCAAGUUAAUGUUUCACGCUGGGCUGCAUUAAGUUGGAUAAAGCAGUAUUUCCUCACUCAUUGUGUAACAACAGUUAUCCUUUUACACUGUCCC
ensembl:lncRNA